AUAGAUAACACUUUUGUAAGAGUAAAUGUCAGCCAAGGUCCUCCGAGUUUGGUGGUUCCGCCACCUUUAGUCCUAAACUUUCAAAUCGAUCAUUUGUGAUCCUCCAAGGUUCGAAAUCGACCCGUCAUAGUCCUUCCGUUAAGAUAUU